rnacentral:rRNA from 1 species
GAUGAACGCUGGCGGUGUGCCUAACACAUGCAAGUCGAGCGAACGGACGAGAAGAUUGCUUCUUUGCGGUUAGCGGCGGACGGGUGAGUAACAAGUGGAUAACCUUCUUAUUAUACUGGGAUGACUUCGGGAAACAACUGCUACUAACAGAUCAUAUUUCGAACCGCAUGGAUCAAGAGUGAUUGACGGUUUUCGUGUUACUUUUAGAUGGAUCCGGGUUGGAUUAGCUAGUUGGUAAGGUAACGGCCUACCAAGGCAACGAUGCGUAGCCGACCUGAGAGGAUGAUCGGCCACACUGGAACUGAGACACGGUCCAGACUCCUACGGGAGGCAGCAGUAGGGAAUCUUCCGCAAUGGGCGCAAGCCUGAUCGAGCCACACCGCGUGAGUGAAGAAGGUCUUCGGGUCGUAAAGCUCUGUUGUUAGGGAAGAAAAGAAGUGUAAGUAUCUGUGGAUGUCCUGACGGUACCCAAUGAAUAAGCACCGGCUAACUACGUG